rnacentral:lncRNA from 1 species
UUGUCACCAAAACGCCCUGAAGUCACUCCUGGUGAAGAUUGUCCGACUUUUUCAUGAUGCAACGUCCGUCCCUUGAACGUUGUGUCCUCCAUGGUUUCGUGAUCUGUAUCCGAGCUCUCGAAGCCUGUAUGAGAUAGAGGUGAGGAUUGUAACUGUGAAACUUUUCUCGACCGUGGGGCCUUCUUGUGAGUAGAGUCUUCCGAGUCUGAAGGCCCACGUACGUUCGUGCUAACUACACCCUGUGCUUUUGGUUGUAGAAAGAAAGAGAGCUCCUUGUGCCUCUUGAUUCCUGCAAGCUGGAAAGACAGAAAAUUGUCAGAAAGCGAAUACAAGUGCCCUUCGGGAUUUGAAAAAGAUGCAGAUUAAUUCUUCAACCUUCAUCACAAACUAACGAUGCGGCAACUUUCCUUUACCUGGCUAUCUAUCGCAAUCUAACUAGCAAUAUCUUCACAUCUCCAAUUCUCCAGCGUACAUAAGCUGAGCUAGUGACAAUUGCAAGGGUGCUACGAUUUGAUUGCGAUUGCAAGGGUAUGACUUCAUCACUACUAUAAUCAAGGACAUAGAAUGCUGGAAUCAAGCAUUUUUGUAGAGCUUUCUCAGUGGAAUCUUUGUAGAUGAUAAAGAAUAAAAACCUUUGGUUGGUUUGGAACGUGAAAAGAAAAGUAG